rnacentral:rRNA from 1 species
CGCAUCUGUGCAUGCAGCAUAUCAAUAAGCGGAGGAAAAGGGUCUAAUUACCUACGCUUAGGAUGUUGACGCGCGUGUGUGCGUGAGUCUAUACAUGACUCUGUGCAUAUCAAUAAGCGGAGGAAAAGAAACUAACAAGGAUUCCCUUAGUAACGGCGAGUGAAGCGGGAAGAGCUCAAAUUUGAAAUCUUCAAGGUUUUACCUUGACGAAUUGUAGUUUAAAGAAGUGUUUUCUGUUGAAGUUUUGGUAAAAGUUCUUUGGAAUAGGACAUCAUAGAGGGUGAGAAUCCCGUAUUUGACCAUUAUUUUCAGCUGUGUGAUACACUUUCAAAGAGUCGGAUUGUUUGGGAAUGCAGUCCAAAAUGGGUGGUAAACUUCAUCUAAAGCUAAAUAUUGGCGAGAGACCGAUAGCGAACAAGUACCGUGAGGGAAAGAUGUAAAGAACUUUGAAAAGAGAGUUAAACAGUACGUGAAAUUGUCAAAAGGGAAGCGUUUGACACCAGUGUUGUUCUCUCGAAAAUCAAUUAAAAAGAGUUAGAUUUUGUUGUGUAUUGACCUUAACAGCUUGCAUUUCAAUUUUCUUGCUUUUUUUAAUGCACUUUUCGUUUAACAAGUCAACAUCAGUUUCUUUUGUUGUAAAAAGGUCAUUGGAAGGUGGCUUUCUUUUCGGAGAAAGUGUUUAUAGCCUUUGACUCCUGCAAUCGGAGAGACUGAGGUCUGCAGCGUAGAUCCUUCGGGGUUAGAUACAUUUGUGCUAAGUUAUAGCUUUUUAUAGACAACUUGUUGACUAUGAUUAGUCUUGUAGCUUACUCGCUUAUGCUAUUUUACCUACGCUUAGGAUGUUGACGCGCGUGUGUGCGUG